GGAUAUGGUAAAUAACCUUAUUAAGAAUGUGGUUUAGGAGUUCCCGUCGUGGCGCAGUGGUUAACGAAUCCGACUAGGAACUAUGAGGUUGCGGGUUCGGUCCCUGCCCUUGCUCGGUGGGUUAAGGAUCCGGCGUUGCCGUGAGCUGUGGUGUAGGUUGCAGACGCGGCUCGGANNNNNNNNNNNNNNNNNNNNNNNNNNNNNNNNNNNNNNNAAAAAAAAAAAAAAAAAAAAAAGAAUGUGGUUUAAAGAUAAGAGUGUUUGGAGAAGUGGAAUGGAUAUGAUUGGAAGAACAGAAUUUAGAAAUAAUCAGUAUAUUUUUACAACCUCAAAUUCAGACAGAUCAACUGGCAAGGUAAGAAAAUAUGGGGUUUUUAUAUUUUCAUAAAAAAAUAGUCAAGCAAUAUCUUAGAGCCCAUAUACUAAUUGACAGCAAAAUAAUCAUGAAUACUAAGAGGAGCAAUUUGGAGAAAAUUUAUGGGUUUUGGAAGACAUGGAACCUUUCAAAGGAAGCAUUUGCUUCAGGCUGUGAUCUGCUAAUUAAUUUUCAGAAAUGCAACAAGAAACUAAAUAGCCACCUAAGUCUCUUUCUACGUUUAUGAGAAAGAAGCUAGUAUGGAAACAAGAAGCUUAUAGAGGAGAAUUUUUUUCAAGAAAUCAAGUUCUAAAACUAUUUUUAGAGCGACUACCUUUAUAGUCCUACUUCUAGAUCACCUACUUUGGAGUCUCAGGAUUUGGGUUUUUACUGAUAUUAUCAAAUGUUUGCUUCCCUGCAGUAUUAGAAAGUAAAAAGGAAUUGUUUUUACCAAAUUUUUUUAAAAAGCAAUGAUGAAAAUAUGGAUGAUGAUUUCCUUUUUGCAUUUUUCUGAUUUUUAAAAUUUCUAAAACAAUAUAAAUGUAAAAAUGAUCUAUGAAAUACAUCUGUGGUCUUUGCACAUCAUAUUGUAGGUAGCCAUAAUUUUUCAGGGUCUAUAAGAUUGAAUUAAGAUAGUGUAUUGUUUUUGAGUUUUGUGUUGAUAUUUUUGUUUUUACUUAUAACAGUGAUGCUGGAAGUAGCGGUGAACGUGAUAUUGCUGAAGGCUGUUUCCAGGCCCCCUAUGCCUUAAAAACCUCAAUUAAGUCCAAUUUCAUCAGAGAGUUCUUCUGCUCUAAGCAUACUCUUCACCUGGGAGCGAAAGGGACUUCAGAUCUGGAGCUCUUCUUUCUCCCCUUUGGCAUGCACACACGCUACUGUGUCAUCAUCCUCAGCAACAAAAAGGUGAGGACGGAAUUACAUGUGUGCUUUCAUCAAGGGCUGCCACUGUAAUGGAAUAACCAGUAUAGGUCAUUUGACAGCAGCUAAAGACUCUGGGAAUAUAGCUAACAAUUUCAGCCCUCUAGUUGAUAAACAAAGAGCUUAUCCUCAAGAAUAAGCAAAGAUUUAUACUACCUGUCUGCAAAUUUUAUAAUGGCUGGAUAAGGAAGUCCCAUGGGAGCAGAAUGGAGGCAUUCCUAACCUGCCAGUACCUUAUCUAUAUCGUCAUCUAUGGUCAUAUAACAAGUUACCAAAUACUGCUCCUCUUAAAACAAUAUGUAUUUAUCAUGUCACGUUUUCUAUGGAUCACAGGUCUAGGUGGGCCCUCUGGUUUAGGUCUAGCAAGUCUUCAAUUCACUGAUUGGCCAGUGCUGUGUUCUCCUCGGAGGUUAAGCUGAAGAAGUGGCUGCUUCUAAGCUUUCUCAAGUUGUUGGCGGAAUUAAUUUUCUAGCUCUGGGAUCCAUGCAUCUUACUUCUCUAAAGCCAGCGAAGGUGAAAAACAGAAGAGGAGGGAGGGGAGAGGAGGUGGGGGCAGAGAGAGAGAGACAGAGAGAGAGAGAAAGAAAGAAGAGAGGAUUUAGAGGAAAAGUUUUAUGGUAUUCUUCUCUUUGAAAAAGACACUGCCAUGUCUUGACCUGAGGGAACUUAUGACCCAUGGGAGAUUGCCCCAAAUGUGUGUUAUGUAUCAAUUAUGCACUAUAUAGAAUGCAUAACAAUGAAAUAAUGGUGAUUGGGAGUUCUCAUCGUGGCUCAGCGGUAACGAACACAACUAGGAUCCAUGAGGAUGUGGGAUCAAUCUCUGGCCUCGGUCAGUGGGGUAAGGAUCUGGCAUUGCCGUGAGCUGUGGUGUAGGUUGCAGGCGUGACUCAGAUCUGGUGUUGCUGUGGCCGUGGUGUAGGCUGGCAGCUGCAGUUCCAAUUAGACCCCUAGCCUGGGAACCUCCACAUGCUGCAAGUGCGGUCCUAAAAAGAAAAAAAAAAAAAAAGUAAUUGGAAAGAGGUAUUAUAUUGACUUAUCUGUAGGAUCCUUUACACAUGAAAAAUAGUAUAGCCUAUUAAAUAUGUAAGGAAUAGUUUUACACUGAGAAUUACCAUUUCAGGUGAAAAAUGCUACUUUAUCGUAAUAUCGAACCUUGUUUUUCAUUUCUCUUGAAAGAGUUUAGGUUUUAGCUGAAUUCCUCUAUAUGAAAAUUUGUAAAAAAAAAAAAAAAAA
rnacentral:lncRNA from 1 species